rnacentral:misc_RNA from 1 species
AAAUUCGGAGAAAGGCUCCACCUGCUAGAGCUUGGAACUGGAGCUUACCUCUUCUUCUGCGGCUGCUAUGAUCUUGCUUUUGGGAAAAACCACUACUUCAUAUACUUAUUUGUGCAAGCAAUUGCCUUCUUCAUCAUGGGGUUCGGAUACAUAGGCACCUUUGUCCCGUAUUCUUAACAAUGGACUGCGAGAGAGUAACAGAAAGUUGGUGCAGUUCUUUGUGCAAAUUCUUCAGUUUAUGCCUGUGAAUUGGUAUAUGACAUUCAAAGUGAAAAUUUUCUGGUAUUUUUAGCUUUGUGUAAAAAAGAAAAAAAAAAGGUCAUAUUCUUUUAGGUGGAGCAUAAAUAAUCGAGUGCAUGUCUCGGAGAGCUUCUAGUUUCCCUUGUGAAUAUCCAAAUACAUUUUAAGUAUAGAUCACAUUGUAAUGUUGUUUUUGGGAUACAGAUUGAGAGGAUCAUAAGGAGAGGGUGAAGAAUGCAGCUUCUGGGUUUGAAUGGCCCUCAAGCAGAUAGAUCAAACCAUCUUAUAAUGGAUUGUAAUUGUAAAAUUUUGCAGCUUGUUUUUUUCCAUUGUUUUGUUGUGGUUGGCAUUGGUUUUGAAAGGAAUAAAAUUAUAGCAAUGGGA